GCUACGGGGGUCAGCAGUGGGGAAUAUUGGACAAUGGGGGAAACCCUGAUCCAGCGACGCCGCGUGAGUGCAGAAGUAUUUCGGUACGUAAAGCUCUAUCAGAGGGAAAGAAAAUGACGGUACCUAACUAAGAUGCCCCGGCUAACGACGGGCCAGCAGCCGAGGUAAUACGGAGGGGGAAAGCGUUAUCCGGAUUUCAUGGGUGUAAAGGGAGCGGAGACGGCGGCGCCAGUCUGGCGGGAAAUGCCGGGGCCCAAACCCGGAACUGCUCGGGAAACUGUGAGGCUGGAGUGCAGGAGAGGUAAGCGGAAUUCCUGGUGGAGCGGUGAAAUGCGUAGAUAUCAGGAGGAACACCGGCGGCGAAGGCGGCUUACUGGACUGUAACUGACGUUGAGGCUCGAAGGCGUGGGGAGCAAACAGGAUUAGAUACCCUAGUAGUC
rnacentral:rRNA from 1 species